UCGUAAUACAAUUUGAAACAGUUUUAUUAUAUUACAUCGUUUAUCGCUUUUCAAAUUAUUUUGAUAUUACAAAACCAGCGCAACGUUCCUUAGACAUCGAUAAAAAUUUUAAAUAUUAAGAAAUCAGUAUGAAAUUCAUUGCUAACCUAACGUCAGUGUACUUAGUAUUUUAUCUCCUCAUUAAACGGUGUAAUGGAGUUAUUUACACGUACGAGGACGUUGAAUUGAGAAGAAUUUUCCCGAGUGAAUUUCCACAGGAUACGAUAAGAAGAAGUGGUGUACUUUAUCCUGAACAUCUUGGUCGUUACAAGGAGUUAAAAGGUUACUUUUUUAAGCCUAAAUCGUCAGUCAAUUCCCAUUUCGAAGAACUAGCCUGCUACGACGAUCAUGGUAAAAAGGUGUGUCGCUUAGACUCCGACCGAUAUUCCCUCGAAGAAAAUCAGUAUUACAUGAAUGAAGCUCAGGAAAGCCACGUGGACCAGAGACGAGUGUACUGUUACAUGUUACUCUGUUUCACUGAGGACGAGCUCGACAGGGUUGUGUCAUCCUUCCAGAUAUGAAUGAAAAUAUAAAAAUAACAAUAAAUUGUACUAAGAUAACUUAUACGUCUCGAUACGAGUAGAGUCUCUUACUUACAACUGAUAAAAACAGACCAGGAAUAUUAGUUUCGUGUGCGUGACAAGCUAAGUCUUACACUCGCGAUUUGUAUGACACUUUGUGUUUGUGUACGUGAAUCGCUCUAAAUAGAGGUUAGUCCUAAACACAAUUUUUUUCGACGUCUAUCUUGACGUAUAAAUGAUCUAAGAAAUUCUAAUUAAAUUUGUGUAAUUAAUCCCAGAAGUGGGGGUUAUCAUAUUAAAAAAAGCAUAUUAUUUAGAUUUAAAAGAGCGAUAUCUCAAGUAAUUUACCUAAUAUGUAAUUAUUGGGGUUAACAGGUUAUCAACUGUGAAGUAGAUCUAGUAGAUGAAGCCACAAUAGAUAACCAGAGAGCUGAACAAGACAUACCAAGAUUUACGAUACAUGCGUCACUCGAACGGUUGGCUCAGUUGGUAAGAGCGUUUGGACAGAGCAAGAACCGCAUCUUAAUCGUUCAUAAAUUUUGUUUAUAUUUUUUUUAAUUCCAAAAAUGAGGGAUAUUACUUAUAAAUAACAAAUAUAUAAUGAAUUCUU